rnacentral:rRNA from 1 species
GACGAACGCUGGCGGCGUGCUUAACACAUGCAAGUCGAACGGACUACUUUGCUUCGGUAAGGUGGUUAGUGGCGAACGGGUGAGUAACGCGUAGACAACCUACCUCUUAGAUGGGGACAACAUCGCGAAAGCGGUGCUAAUACCGAAUGAAGUGACUUUCAUGAAUGGGAGAGAUACUAAAGGUGGCCUCUAUUUAUAAGCUACCACUGAUAGAUGGGGCUGCGUCUGAUUAGCUAGUUGGCGGGGUAAUGGCACACCAAGGCGACGAUCAGUAGCCGGUCUGAGAGGAUGAACGGCCACAUUGGGACUGAGACACGGCCCAAACUCCUACGGGAGGCAGCAGUGGGGAAUCUUCCGCAAUGGACGAAAGUCUGACGGAGCAACGCCGCGUGAGUGAAGAAGGUUUUCGGAUCGUAAAGCUCUGUUGUUUGAGACGAAUGUGCCUGUUUCAAAUAGGGAUAGGUAAUGACGGUAUUAAACGAGAAAGCCACGGCUAACUACGUGCCAGCCGCCGCGGUAA